rnacentral:rRNA from 1 species
UACGGAGGGGGCUAGCGUUGUUCGGAAUUACUGGGCGUAAAGCGCGUGUAGGCGGCUCGGCAAGUCGGAUGUGAAAGCCCUGGGCUCAACCUAGGAAGUGCAUUCGAAACUGCAGAGCUUGAGUUCUGGAGAGGAAGGCGGAAUUCUCGGUGUAGAGGUGAAAUUCGUAGAUAUCGAGAGGAACACCUGUGGCGAAGGCGGCCUUCUGGACAGUGACUGACGCUGAGACGCGAAAGCGUGGGGAGCAAACAGG